GUUAAGGUGGCAGAGUCCGGUUACUGCAAAAGGUCUAAGCCCUUUGAACAGAGGUUCAAAUCCUCUCCUCAAUU
rnacentral:tRNA from 1 species